GACGAACGCUGGCGGCGUGCUUAACACAUGCAAGUCGAACGAAGUGGCGAACGGGUGAGUAACGCGUAAUCAACCUGCCCUUCAGAGGGGGACAACAGUUGGAAACGACUGCUAAUAUAGCAUACUGAAGGAGGGGAUUGCGUCGGAUUAGCUAGUUGGAGGGGUAACGGCCAACCAAGGCGAUGAUCAGUAGCCGGUCUGGGAGGAUGAUCGGCCACAUUUGGACUGAGACACGGCCCAGACUCCUACGGGAGGCAGCAGUGGGGAAUCUUCCGAAAUGGACGAAAGUCUGACGGAGCAACGCCGCGUGAGUGAUGACGGCCUUCGGGUUGUAAAGCUCUGUUGAUCGGGACGCGGUACCGGAAUAGAAAGCCACGGCUAACUACGUGCCAGCAGCCGCGGUAAUAC
rnacentral:rRNA from 1 species